GGCAGAGGAAGCUCAUCAGGGAGACCACGUGUUGAGUGCUCAUCACUCCCCGGCCCCUGGGAAGGUCUGAGACUGGGGCCUCCUGUGGCCCUAACCUGGCCCUCCUGAGUGGGGAGGUGAGUUCCCAGAGAGCAGGGCUCCACGCAUGGGCAGACUUGGCAUGAGAGGCCCCAAGUGGGCAGAUGCCUCCCUGGCUGGAGCUUGGAAGAAAUACUUCAAUCAUUGUAAUUCCAGAGGCUCCCACUAUUAGAAGCACAAAGGUCUUUGUGUUCC
ensembl:ribozyme RNaseP_nuc Nuclear RNase P